rnacentral:rRNA from 1 species
CCUACGGGAGGCAGCAGUGGGGGAUAUUGCACAAUGGGGGGAACCCUGAUGCAGCGACGCCGCGUGGGUGAAGAAGCGCCUCGGCGCGUAAAGCCCUGUCAGCAGGGAAGAAAAUGACGGUACCCGAAGAAGAAGCCCCGGCUAACUACGUGCCAGCAGCCGCGGUAAUACGUAGGGGGCAAGCGUUACCCGGACUUACUGGGUGGAAAGGGGGCGCAGACGGCGGUGCAAGCCAGGGGUGAAAGCCCGGGGCCCAACCCCGGGACUGCGCUGGGAACUGCGUGGCUGGAGUGCAGGAGGGGCAGGCGGAAUUCCUGGUGUAGCGGUGAAAUGCGUAGAUAUCAGGAGGAACACCGAUGGCGAAGGCAGCCUACUGGACUGCAACUGACGUUGAGGCCCGAAAGCGUGGGGAGCAAACAGGAUUAGAUACCCGUGUAGUC